rnacentral:lncRNA from 1 species
AUGAUAUCCAACUUCUGGCUGAUAUCCAAGUGUAUUACCAGAAUUACAUGCUCAGAUGGGCCUUCCUCCGUGCUCAUGAUGAAGGAUCAAAAUACGUGGCUUCCUUGUCUCAAAGGCAAACCCUGGAGAUACCAAUAUAGGGAUCUUAUAGUUCCCUGUAUAGUGGAGGCCUGAUGUGGAGUUGAAGCUGGUAUGAAGAAAGUAGGUCUGCUGAGGAAGUCUGGAGAUUUGGUCUCAAGCUAGGCCUAGCUUCCCUGAAACAUUCAUGCAGCUGUGUUAUUUCUCUGUUGUUGUUAUAAACAGGUUUUUAAUGUCCCUGGUAAUCACUGAACUUCUUGAAUUUUGGCCAACAUACCAAACUCAAAGCCCUCCAAAUGGCUGCUUCUGCCAAGCUUUACACAUUAUGGCAUUUUAGGUAAUACUACGUUUCAGCAGCUUAGGCUGAGUUAUUGGGUGAGUUCAGUGUCCAAGAGGAAAAAACAAAACACACAAUUCCAUUCAAGUCCAUGAAAAAUUUUAUUCUUGGAAGGUGUUGGAUACUGGCAACAUAAAAUAUAUGAAACUACAGUAAAAAUCUAUUUAAAAUGAAUACCAUAACCUGAUUUUCUUGUUCUUUUGCUUAUAAAUAAUGCAAUGGAUUUAGUAGGUAUAUUUAUUUAGAUAGCAAAGUACAGACAAGUAUGACAUCCCAUAGAGAAAAACUUUGUAAAUAAGCAACAAAUACUGUGGUUCUAAUUUGUUUGAAAUGAUGGUGUUUUAACUAAGUAGGAUAUAUAUAUAUAUAUAUAUAUAUAUAUGAGUUGCUUGUACAUAAGUUGCGUAGUAUAGAAGGAAUGUGCACUCUAGGGAAUAAGUAGGGGCUUAAACAUACUGGACUAAGUGUCAUAUUCUUGUUUUGUUUGUUUAAAAACAAAUAAAAAACACAAAAACAUCUACUGCA